rnacentral:rRNA from 1 species
UACAGAGGUCCCAAGCGUUGUUCGGAUUCACUGGGCGUAAAGGGUGCGUAGGCGGCGGGGUAAGUUCGAUGUGAAAUCUCCAGGCUCAACCUGGAAAUGGCAUUGAAUACUACUCUGCUCGAGGCUUGGAGGGGGGACUGGAAUGCUCGGUGUAGCAGUGAAAUGCGUAGAGAUCGAGCGGAACACCAGUGGCGAAGGCGAGUCCCUGGACAAGUCCUGACGCUGAGGCACGAAAGCUAGGGGAGCAAACAGG